rnacentral:rRNA from 1 species
CCUACGGGUGGCAGCAGUGAGGAAUAUUGGUCAAUGGGCGCGAGCCUGAACCAGCCAAGUAGCGUGAAGGAUGACUGCCCUACGGGUUGUAAACUUCUUUUAUAAAGGAAUAAAGUUAGGCACGUGUACCUUUUUGUAUGUAUUUUAUGAAUAAGGAUCGGCUAACUCCGUGCCAGCAGCCGCGGUAAUACGGAGGAUCCGAGCGUUAUCCGGAUUUAUUGGGUUUAAAGGGAGCGUAGAGGGGUUGUUAAGUCAGUUGUGAAAGUUUGCGGCUCAACCGUAAAAUUGCAGUUGAUACUGGGUGCCUUGAGUGCAGGUGAGGUAGGCGGAAUUCGUGGUGUAGCGGUGAAAUGCUUAGAUAUCACGAAGAACUCCGAUUGCGAAGGCAGCUUACUAGACUGUAACUGACACUGAGGCUCGAAAGUGUGGGUAUCAAACAGGAUUAGAUACCCUGGUAGUC